AUUGAACGCUGGCGGCAGGCCUAACACAUGCAAGUCGAACGAGUGGCGGACGGGUGAGUAAUGUCUGGGAUACUGCCUGAUGGAGGGGGAUAACUACUGGAAAAGGUAGCUAAUACCGCAUACUAUCGGAUGUGCCCAGAUGGGAUUAGCUAGUAGGUGGGGUAAAGGCUCACCUAGGCGACGAUCACUAGCUGGUCUGAGAGGAUGACCGGCUACAAUGGAACUGGGACACGGUCCAGACUCCGACGGGAGGAAGCAGUGGGGAAUAUUGCACAAUGGGCGCAAGCCUGAGGCAGCCAUGCCGCGUGUAUGACAAAGGCCUUCGGUUUGUAAAGUACUUUCAGCGGGGAGGCGUUACCCGCAGAGGAAGCACCGGCUAACUCCGUGCCAGCAGCCGCGGUAAUUC
rnacentral:rRNA from 1 species